rnacentral:rRNA from 1 species
AUAGGGUCAAGUGAAUAAGUGCAUCAGGCGGAUGCCUUGGCGAUGAUAGGCGACGAAGGACGUGUAAGCCUGCGAAAAGCGCGGGGGAGCUGGCAAUAAAGCUAUGAUUCCGCGAUGUCCGAAUGGGGAAACCCACUGCAUUCUGUGCAGUAUCCUAAGUUGAAUACAUAGGCUUAGAGAAGCGAACCCGGAGAACUGAACCAUCUAAGUACCCGGAGGAAAAGAAAUCAACCGAGAUUCCGCAAGUAGUGGCGAGCGAA